UGUGUCACAUAUUAUAUCAAGAACUUUAGGAGCUAAGAUAUUCUCUCACGAUGGAAGAGGUUAGUCCCAGUCCCGUUUGCCUGUGGACAUCUUGCAUCAUCCUCUGAACAAUCUUUCCCUUCCUUCCUCUUCUUUCCAGUUCUCGUCCCACCCUCUUCCCUCUCUUCUUUUCUUUUUUUUUUUCUCCCCUCAAGCCCAAGACUUUCCUGUCAUGCCAGGCAAUGAUUCAGCCACUUCAGUUCUGGGUGGAUGGAUAGGCAGGGCUUAAAGCAGGCAACCCUCAUGCUGUCAAAGCCAAAAAGUAGAGGAAUUAUAAAAGCCUCCACCAGGGGUUGCCUAAGCUCUGGUGUUUUGCCCCCACUACUUUAAAGGCGAUUCGUUUAAAACAAAACAAAACAAAACGAAAAACAACAACUUACUUUGUAAAGCAUAAGCUUAAAAUAAGAAAAACAGAAGUGCCUAAUCAGAUCUUUGGAAGUAUUGCAUUGCACUGUCACUGAGUGAUAUAUGACUGGCUGUCUUUCUGUUUGGACUGCAUUCAUCUGAAUGGAGUGGGUACAUUGGCUACCGCCUUUUCUCCUGGUUUUCGCUGUUUCUCUUUGAUCUAGAAGCGAUUUAUUCUUACUCCUCCAGAUCUCUUUAUAAAGAGCCACAGGGAAGGGAAACAAUGAUGGCUGUUUGGGAAUAAAGGAGGGCUCUCACAGUUGAAGUUUUCUCCAUCUAGGCUUGGGUAAGGAGAAGGGCUUCUGGUCCCUCAGGCCUGUCAGUCAUAUACCUGGGACCUGUCCCAUGGUCAUACAGACCAGACCCUGCACACCUGCAGUCUCAGGUUCUGACAAGCAGGUAUCUUGCAAAGCGGAGCCCACAGCUGGAAUUCAAGGCAAAGCCCAUCCCCUCUUGCCAGCAAGGCAGGAGUGUCCCUUCUGAAGUAAAAGCCAGAGGACAAGAUGGACUGGGAAACACUGCAAAGACAUUGCUCCUCGGCCUUUGGUGACAUUCCUCCAAGGUCCCCUCUCACAGGUGUGUUAUGAGACAUACCUCAGGCAUGAGUGGACGCAUCAACAAAAGGAAUAGCUAAACACAGCCUGAAAUAGGAUGCCUUCAAGGGGACAAACAGAAAUGUAGGAGGAAGGAUCUUCAAAGACAUGCCAAAUUACCGUGACUCAUUACCAUGGCCCUCUUAAGAUCAGUGCUCGCAAGAAGUAGUUUAUGCCAAACAAGUAUAGCAAGAAGAGCAACCUUGCUGGGUGGGUGAGGAAAAUCAGUCCUCUUUUCUAUGACAUGAGACUAAUUAUUAAAAGAAUUUCAAUUUUGUCUUUACCAAGACAUGAGUUCCUUAUGUACUGCAUGCUGUCUUCUGCUUUUUAUUUGAAGAAAUGUGGCAUUUGGGAAGCAGCAGAUGUCCCCCCUGUGGAAUCAAUGUGAAAUGAUAUUUUUGUAACAUCAUUAAAAAGUCUAUCAAGGCUGAGGCAGGAGAAUCGCUUGAACCCGGGAGGCAGAGGUUGCAGUGAACCGAGAUUUAGCAAUUGCCGGCUCUCCUGAGCCCCACACGGCUUGUAUCAUGGCUAGUGAACUUCAGAGAGAUGCAUAAGGGCCAGUGAAGUAUUUUCAGUUCUGAAGCCACAGCCUGUGCCAUGUGGGGGUUUUCACCCUGCACUGAGGUGAUGCAUCUGGCUAGGCUCCAGGGCUUUGUGAGCAUUUUCCUGAGGGUCCCAUCUAUGGCUACCAUCAUGCAGUGUAACUUGUUUUCAACAUCAACAACGAGCUGCUCAAAGAAUAAGUUCUCUUUUGAGACCAGCCUGGCCAACAUGGUGAAACCCUGUCUCUACUAAAAAUACAAAAAUUAGCCAGGCAUGG
rnacentral:lncRNA from 1 species